CCUACGGGUGGCAGCAGUGAGGAAUAUUGGUCAAUGGGCGCGAGCCUGAACCAGCUAAGUAGCGUGAAGGAUGACUGCCCUACGGGUUGUAAACUUCUUUUAUAAAGGCAUAAAGUGAGGCACGUGUGCCUUUUUGUAUGUACUUUAUGAAUAAGGAUAGGCUAACCCCGUGCCAGCCGCCGCGGUAAUACGGAGGAUCCGAGCGUUAUCCGGAUUUAUUGGGUUUAAAGGGAGCGUAGAUGGGUUGUUAAGUCAGUUGUGAAAGUUUGCGGCGUAACCGUGAAAUUGCAAAUGAGACUGGCAGGCUUGAGUGCAGUAGAGGUAGGCGGAAUUCGUGGUGUAGCAGUGAAAUGCUUAGAUAUGACGAAGAACUCCGAUUGCGAAGGCAGCUUACUAAACUGCCACUGACAUUGAUGCUCGAAAUUGUGGGUAUCAAACAGGAUUAGAUACCCGAGUAGUC
rnacentral:rRNA from 1 species